GGAGCAGCUGUUGCAGUAUGGGUAUAAUAAACCUAUUUGCGUAAAUAACUUGACUAUUCAAUGGGAUUACGAAUUCAAAGCAGCAAUGCUUGGUUCCUCCAUCCCGGGGUAUUUUUAUCAACAUAUGCUUGCAUAUGGAAAAUAUACCAUGAGCAUACUGGAUAUGACCCGAAAGAUGGUGAACUAUGCCUGAUCAGGUUGAAGUCAGGGGAAACCCUGAUGGAGGACCGAAGCAAUUCUGACGUGCAAAUCGAUUGUCAGAAUUGGGCAUAGGGGCGAAAGACCAAUCGAACCAUCUAGUAGCUGGUUCCUUCCGAAGUUUCCCUCAGGAUAGCUGGAGCAUAUAUGAUUUUUUCACGAAUUCAUACCUGGUAAAGCGAAUGAUUAGAGGCCUUAGGAACGAAAUGUUUUUAACCUAUUCUCAAACUUUAAAUGGGUAUGUAAGUUAACAUACUUGAUUGAUGUUGACCUGAAACUCUGUUUAGGCAGAGCUGUAAGAUUGUAUGCGCCCAGUGGGCCAAGUUUUGGUAAGCAGAACUGGUGCUGUGGGAUGAACCAAACGCAAUGUUAAGGCGCCCAAAUAAACGACGCAUCAUCGAUACCAUGAAAGGUGUUGAUUGCUGAAGACAGCAGGACGGUGGACAUGGAAGUUGUCAUCCGUAGG
rnacentral:rRNA from 2 species